AUAACAGUGAUUUGUAUAGAGUUAGGUAUUGCAUAUCAUUUAAUAAAAUUUUUAUAAAAAUAAAAAAUAGAAUUAAAAGGUAGAAAAAUUUAUUAUUUUUAUUGUUUCAUAAUAAAAAUUAUAAUUUUUAGUGUUGAAAAGUCGACUUUUAAGAUAUCUGUGUUAUUAUAGUGUAAUUAGAAAUUUAUUAUUAUUAUUUGAGUUUGUAUAAAAAGUAAAAGUUAGAGUAUUUGUAUUAUUAGUUUUAUAACUGUUUAUUCAAUUUAUUUUUAGUUAUAUUUAUUUUAUAAUAAAUUUUUAUUAUAUAGAUUAUAUUAAAAUUAGUAGUUAAAUUUAAAUCAAGUUAAUUUAAUUUAAUUUAAUCAAAAAACUCAGAAGUUGAUCAAAUGUUUUUUAAAGACUUAGACUUUAAAUUAAAGUUUGCUUCUGCCCAAUGAAUAUUAUUAAAUGGCAGUCUUAGCGUGAGGACAUUAAGGUAGCAAAAUAAUUAGUGCUUUUAUUGAGUUCCAGUAUGAAUGAAGUUAUUGGUUAAUUUAUUUUUUGAUUUUAAAAUGAAUUUUUAAUUGAUUAUAAGAAAGUAUUAGUAUAAUAAUACAAAGAUAAGUCUUCGGAAAUUUUAUUUUAGUUACUAUCAGUAUAAUAGUAACUAAAAAUUAUCUAGGGCAGAAAUAUAUAUAUUUGUAGUAUCUAUUAAUAAUUAAAAGAAUUACUCCGGAGUUAACAGAAAAUCAUAUCUGAUCUAGUACUUAUAGUAAGAUAAGUUUUACAUCGAUGUUGUAUUUAAGUAAAUUAAAAAAGGAGAAGAUUUAUAAUUUAAGACUGUUCUUCUUUUAAUAAACUUAACGUGAUAUUAGUUUAAUUCAUUGUGAGAUAGAAUUGUUUAUCUUGAUUAUUAUUAAGAAUUAAUUUUAAUAGUACGAAAGGAAAAUUAAAAAAGAUUUUAAAUUUUUAUAAGUUUAAGGACUU
rnacentral:rRNA from 1 species